rnacentral:lncRNA from 1 species
CAACAGUUUGGAUAACCGGUGACCUGCUGAUGACAGGUUACCCGAGUUGCAUAGACUCCAGGUUUCCUACCAUGGUACACAACGUACCAAGCCAUUGUGCCUUAGGAAGAAAAUGAAACUUGAUUCAAUUGCAGCAACAGAUGAAUGAUAAAACAAAAUGUGGAAAUUAAAUUAUUGGCCUCAGAUGUUAUUUGCAUCUUCUCUUAACCUUGAGCUUGGAGCAUCAGUGACACUAGAUGAAUAGCAGACCACAAAUAGUAAGACAGUGGCAACAGAAACAGCACGUCAUUGGCAACAGAAUGACAAGUAUGACAACAGCACAACCAGAAAAAACCAAGAACAAGCAGUACCAAAGAGGUCGACAACAAAAACAAUAUGACAGAAGCAUGACAGGUUACCCAAUUUGCAACAGAGGCAACAGAAACCAUCCUAGGACUGCCAACAGAAAUAGCAACCUUUGAGCAACCAUCCUAGGACAACAUCUGAGAAACAACAGAAGUUUGGAGAAGCAGUACCAAGGGAUAGGUGGCAACAACAUCAAAUUGCUUGGGUAACCAAGAUAGGUAACUCCAUAUGCAUAAUAUCCAAUUUGCAUAGGUAUAUGUCUGUAAACUAGCAAGUCUGAUAUGGUAAGUUAUAAAAAAAAUAGCCUCAGAUGUUAUUUUCAACUCCCCUUGAUCUUGAGCUUGGAGCAUCAGUGACACAACAGGAAAAUAAGACCAAUAACAGUAGCACAAUGGCAACAGAAACAAUAGCAAUGUCACCAGAAAUAACAGCAUAGGCACAAUAUGGACAAUAGCUAAGCAACAGCACAAGCAUAAGUAAGGAACAUGCACUACUAGUUGGCAACAAGAACAACAACAUCAAUGUCAUGGUCCCUCACAAGCUCAAGGUCAUCUGAUGCUACCCAUAUAGUUUUAAUUGGGCAAAUAAGUUUGUCAUCAUAGGCAUUUUGCCUUACCUUAAAUAAAAUAAGUAACCAUCAAGACAGUAGAUAAAUAGCAGAGCAGAAACAGUAGGACAAUGGCAAUGGAAACAGCAGGACAUUGCCAACAAAAAGAGCAGUAACAGCACAUCUACAACAACACAACCAGAAAUGGUGAACAGCCAAUUUUAUUUCCAUCUUCGCUUGACCUUAGAAAGGGGAGCAUCAGUGGCACAAUGGCAAAAGAAGACCAGAAACAGUAGCAUAUUGGCAACAGAAACAACAGGAGUGCCAACAGAAAGAGCAGAACCAAGGGAUAGGUGCAACAACAUCAAAUUGGUCAGGUAACCAAGACAGGUAACCCCAUAAGCAUAUUAUCCAAUGUGCAUAUGUAUGGGCGUGAUUGGUUGCAAAGGUCCCACCGUCCGCUGCAUGACCCCGAAGCAUCCCGUGCACUCUCGCAGGAGUGACACAAGAUGAAAAUAAGACCAAAAACAGUACCAGAAUGGCAACAGGAAUAGCAGCAAUGUCACCAGAAAUAACAGUGCCACCAGAACAUGGACAAUAACUUAGCAACAGCACAAUGGUAAGUAAGGAGCAUGCAGUACUAGUUGGCAACAACAACAGCAAGAUCAAUGUCAUGGUCCCUCACAAGCUCAAGGUCAUCUGAUGCUACCCAUAUAGUUUUAAUUGGGCAAAUAAGUGUGUCAUCAUAGGCAUUUUGUCUUACCUUAAAUAACAUAAGUAACCAUCAAGGCAGAAGGAAGCAACCAACACAUAGGAAAUGCUGAAAAGAUGGACUUACCAGGUAUCCAGAAGCAGUAGCAGGUCUUAAUAACAAGAACAAUGGCAUAGUUAGUCAGAAGCUUAAGGUCAUGUGAUGGUACCCAUGGGGAAAAUAAUUUAUCAUGAACAGCACAACUAGAAAAAAAGAACAAGUAGCAAGUCUGAUAUGCUAAGUGACAAAAGAAUUGGCCUCAGAUGUUAUUUUCAUCUUCCCUUGACCCUGAGCUUGGAGCAUCAGUGACACAAGACCAAAAUAAGACCAAAAAUAGUAGCACAAUGGCAACAGGAACUAUAGCACAGUGAACACAAAAAACAGCAGUAGCACAACAUGGACAACAGCUCAGGAACAACACAACCAUAAGGAACAAGAAUCACAAGAUCAAUGUCAUAGUCCCUCACAAGCUCAAGGUCAUCUGAUGAUACCCAUAUACUUCUAAUUGGGCAAAUAAGUUUGUCAUCAUAGGCAUUUUUUCUUACCUUAAAUAACAAAAGUAACCAUCAAGGCAGAAGGAAGCAACCAUCAUAUAGAAAAGGAUGAAAAUAAGAUGGACUUACCAUGUAGCAGUUCUUAAGAAGAAGAACAAGAACAACAUAUGCAUCCAUGAAUUCAGAACAUGUAUCCAAGAUGAAAGACUUGGCAUCCAUCACAUUGACCAGGUGUAGGUGUUCAUGUUUACACACCCAACAGAUCCCUCCAAACCACCUUUAGCAGAUGGAACCAUGUAGCCUAUGCUAUACAAAAAUAUUUGCAGCAUUGGAAAUAUCCCAAAUGGUAUGUCUACCCUCACCAUCAGUGGUUAGUGCUAACCCAAAAUGUCAGACUACAGCAUAGGCAAGCAAAAUAACACAUAACAGUCGACAUCCACCUAGAGGAAGUUAGAUUGGCUCAGGUAGGUCCUAAGCCAAAGGAUCCUAUGGGCUUCACUCAUCUGAACAAAGCAUAGGCCUUCUGCUUUGUUCUUGAGCAAGUACACAAGUACAAACAUCAAGGCCUCCUGUGAGUACCCAGGAUAGGACAUGACACAACCAUAGAGAUCUGCAUGGACCUCAUUGUGCUGAGGAGCUUUCAGGGCUUCUGCAACAGAGGCAACAGCAACAGUCAUACCAUGCAUCAGCUGGUAUUCUUCCUCACCCAACUUCCUCCUUUUACCACCUCUCCCUUCCUUAUCAUCAGAACUCUUAGAGGUGUCCAGCCCAUUGGAGCCUACAUUUUUCUUACCAGAAUCACCCUCAUUCCCAUCUAAAUUAAUUGUCUCUGUUGCAAGAUCCCCCCCUCAAGGUGUCCAAGGUCAGUAGGUACACCUAAAGGUUCAUUGGAACCCAUGGCAAACCUACCAGUAGCCUGACUAGACCCAAAAAUGGCCUCCAUUUGGACAUAGUUCUCAAUUGGGGUGUUCAAGAACUUGGCAUCAGCAGGAUGAUCCUAGUUGGGCAAAAGGUUGUGCAACAGUUAGAGAUAAGGGUAGCUAUUAAUCAUAACAGUGAGGUAUAUGUAAGCUGUGGCCUAACCUUAGUGUGCCCUAUCAGAUGCUCCUCCUCAAGGACUAUCAUAUGAUGGUCCUCAUUCCAGAGAGCACCACUGAGGUCCUUGAGCCUAGCAAUCUUAACCCACCUCUGUCUCCAUUUGCGUAGGUGGUUAUAAAUUUGGUUGGUGGUAACAUUCACCUCAGCAAAAUCAGAAACCAUCCUAGCAACUUGCCUAACAUGCACUUCCUUGAAGCCUUUGUCAGUUUUGACCCCUUGCCCAACCAGAUCAUGAAACCUCCUAAGCAUGAAGGCUGACUGAACACUGGUCCAUUGCAUUGGCCCCCCAGGCUGGGCUCCAUUGGGUGGAGGGGCUGCUGGGAACACUUCCUCCACAGCAGCCACCCCACCCUCGGCCCCUGCCUCAUUGACAACACCAACCACAUCCUCACCCAUCACAGCCAUGUCCUAACCAUCAUACCAUAACAAAAACAAACACCAAAGCACUUAGAAAUCAAACAUGAAAGUAAGUACUGCAUGCAAAUAUCAUACCAAGUUGUAUUGUUCAUGAUUGCAGUUACACAUCAUAGCAAAGUACCAAGGUCUCAGACCAUAUUACAAAUUCAUCAAUGCUAGUUAAUAGUACAUGACCCCAAAUACUUAAGUGCAAUUAAACUCUAGAAGAUCCCCUAUUCUGCCACAUUUGUGCAGCCCAUGCAUCCCUUUGCUGUGCCCAGGUUCCAUUAUCAGCACUAAGUUCUGGCUCAGGGGGGUAUCAGUUGAGUUAGGAGUCCAAGCAGCUUCAGUGGGAACAUGUUCAUCUUGUCCAUGCCUAAGUAUCCAAUUGUGCAGAAUACAACAGGUAAGAACCAACUUAACUUGGGUUUUGUAAGGAUGGAAAGGCUUGUUAUCAAGGAUUCUGAAUCUAUUCUUUAAAGCACCAAAGGCCCUCUCUACUGUCACCCUAAGGGAAGAAUGCCUCAGGUUGAACAACUCUCUUUGAUUUUGUGGCCUAUUUGAACCAAACUCCCUCAAGUGGUACCUUGUACCACGAUAUGGCGGCAGGAACCCAGGCCUGGCUGCAUAUCCAGCAUCCACAAGAUAGAAUUUCCCUAGACAAUGUAACAAAUGGAGAUGGUUUAUCAGUUUAGUGUGUGCAAGUAUUGUUGCCAUGUGUGUAUGUGAGUUAUGGUACCUUGUGGGACUGUAAGACCAUCUGCCCUUUCAAGAGCAUCUGAUAAAAUCAGAGCAUCAUGUGCAGAUCCCUCCCAACCAGCAAGCACAUAUGUGAACCUUAGAUCAAAGUCCACUGCUGCAAGUACAUUCUGAGUGAUGGUGUGCUUCCUGCCUCUAAAGGCAGCUUGCAUCUUCAAAGGCACUCUAGCUAGGACAUGUGUCCCAUCAAUUGCUCCUAUGCAAUCCUAAAAAUAAAAAGCCAUAUUAACAGGUUGGUACCAUAUUGGUCAGGUCAAUUGGGUUGCAAUUAGGAAAGGGCCACCAACCUUGAAAUAUGGGUUCCAUCUCCUGCUGCCAAGGAUCCUAGGAUGGACACUAGUGGAUGCUGGAACAAUCAACUCAUUUCUCAACUCACCAACUGCAUACAAGACUUGAUGAAAGAACCUACUAAUAGUUUCAGGUGACCUCAUAUAUGUCAUGUUAAUGACCCUGAACCUUUGGUUGUGUCCAACUACAUGCAAGAACAUUGCUACCUGUUCUUCAACAGUGGCAUGGAUGCUAUCCACAACCAACUCUCUAGACCUAAACAGGUCACACAGUUGGAAAAAAGGUGCCCUUCUCAUUCUUAGCAGGUUGACACAAUGCACAUCAUCAGAUUCAUAAAUGAAUCUGAGGUUGCUAUUCCUCUCUCUGUCCCUCUCUGCCAUGGGACCAUAGGUAAUAGAUCGAGCUUCCUCACUUCUCCUUCUAAACCACAAGAAAAACCAAGCAGCAACAGCAGCAACAAGAGCAGCCGCAGCCCGGCGCCUACCUUGGAAGUCCAUGUCUAACAAUACAAUGCAGUGUUCAUUAGAGCUGAGUAUACAAAAACUUGGGUCAUGUUGUUAACCAAGCAAACAUUCUGAACUACAUUAUAUCCUAGACGCGGCUGCCACACCCGAAGGUGCUCCUCCGACGGCAAGGAAUCAUCAUCGACCUAGGCACUUUGCUCAGCUAACUAGGGGCUCAUUGGUUGCAAAGCAGUAAGCCAUGAUUUCAGGAUUCAAGAAAUCAGAUCCACAAAUAUACACGACAACCUUAGAUGCGCAUAAGAACGAACAUAGGGUUACCCUAGCACCAUAUAUGCAGAUGCACAAACAACAUAGGGUGGAUGAAAACCAACCAAGAUGUACCGUCGCAGGACCGGCGGCGGCUCAGGGUGCCGCCGGAGGACCCCGACCCACACAAGAACCGAACAAAAAUUCAGAUCGACCUCUACACAUGUGAGAACCAUAGAUCUGCAUCACAAAAAGUACCUACGGUUCAUCACAACCUUAAAUCCACAAAAGGAGCGCACGGAUCUGACAGAAGAAUAGCCUAGGGUUCAUCGACACCAACCAAAAAAAUACGAAUCGACAGAUCAGCGGGGGAGAGGGGAUCAAGCAGCGUAAAGAGGAGGGGGAGAUGUACCGUCGCAGCACCGCCGGGGGCACAGGGCGCCGCCGGAGUACCUCGAGCCACCGGCGAACCGAGAGCGAAUAGGAGGAGGAAGAGGAGAAGGCGCACCGGGGAGGAGGGGAGCGAAGAAAAUGGCGCGAGGAUGGGAGGUCACCGUAACCUCCCGCGCCUUUAGCCCCGAUACGGCGCCAUCUCCCGCCCUCCGCCGAAAUCUUCCCGCCAGCACCGCGCCAUCCCGGCUCGCGAGAGAAGGUGCCCUCUGGGCGGAUGGGGCGAUGCGGGAUGGAGUGAGGGAAAGGAACGGGGGCAUGCGCCGUUUCGAUUCCGGGAGGCAAACCGAACACGCGACAGUGCACGGGAUGCUUCGGGGUCAUGCAGCGGAUGGUGGGACGCGGGCAACCAAUCACGCCCUAAUAACUCACUGCUGCGGCCAUGCACUCGUCGCCACGAGGCGGAUGCCCAGGGGCACGCGUGCCGCGCCACGGUAAGGUAGGCUCCGCCCUCCGCGGGGUGCGACUCCACCUGCGCUGGUGAAACUAGCCGCGGCGUGGCGUGGGUCGCCGAGCGCCACGCGUGGCCGGCCACUGCGCUGCCGGUCGGUCCCUGCCGCUUUCUUCUUCUGGGCUAGAUUAUUAGUAUUACUGUUCUUGGACCAAAGAAUCACACCACACGCAUCAGAGCGUAUCUUGGGUUGCUCGAAAUGGUGUGGGCAUCGGUCCAGAUGACGCGAGAUGGCUCCACGGGGUUAGAGAAUUAUAGGUGAGACCUACUAAUAAAGUCCAGGUCAAGCCCAAAAGCGCCGGAGGUAUUGCUGUGCUUUGUUUGACAAAAUUGGUUAGAAUAAAGAUGGACGACAUUGACCGCUGUGAAAAUUAACCAGCUGGGAUUCGCGUCGAGAUAUGGUGUCUCCUUUCCUUUCUCCUACUAGAGCACGCCACCUGAGGUCCUGAGCUGAGCUGACAGUAUUGGUGAGACCCAGACCGACCGAGCGCAAACGUGACAGCCAGGAUGGAUCAUCAUGCAUUAGCCCGGAGACCGGCGGUGGGUGUAGGGUCUGUCUGCAAGCUGCAGGAGCACAAGCAAGAUCUAUCGUGGCACACUGACACUCUUGUCUCUUGCUACGCUACACCUUUGUUUAUCCUCGAUUGGUUGUCACGCGGCGCCUGCACGGCUGCACUGCUCUGCUGUGCUGUUGCUGGCUUGCUGCCACUGCCAGCAUGCGCCACGGCCGCGGCCGCGCAGCCACGCGUGGCGCGCCCAGGUAGGCUCCCCGCGCGCGAGGUCUCACCUGUAGCUAGCCACUCCAGUCUCCCGGUCCUGGCUCGGCGAGCGAGGCCAAUCUCUGCCAUGCGGCGGGGCUCCGGCCAUGACGCCGUUCGCGCGGCGACACAUGGCCAAGCAGCGAGGGUCGACGCAGGAGUGGGAGGCUGGGAGCCAACGGCCGCGUACCGCGUCGCCUGCCGCGGGGCCGACGUGGCGAGCGCGGGGGCGUUCACGUGACUUGUUGAGGUCCGUGCCGGGACCAGAGAGCGGCGGCGAUUCCAUCGGCGGCAGCUGACGAGGCCUCCGGGGGAGUGGGCAACUCGGAGUUGCUGGCGGCAGCUGCCCAUGCCCUCGCUCGGACUGGCCGUUCGCGGCGCCGAGGAGGCAGCGGACCUUGGACUUGGUGGAGGCAGCAAACUGCACGGUGGCCGGUGGACGCCCACGCCCCCGCGUGCAGGGUGCCACACGAGGAAACCGUCCUCGUCGCUCAAGUCCCGUCGUCCUGGCACGUGAAACGGAACGACUUCUUUUUCCUCGUUGCUGCGACUGUUGGUGCCGCUUUUAGUCAAUGCUACAGUACUUUGCUGAACCGCUGCUGCGAUAGCUCAAGCGACCGUCGGCCUGUUGGCUUCGCUUCAGCUUAUUCAACCACCUUAUCAGCCAUCAAAUAGUAUUUUUCUCUCACAACAAAUCAGCCAUUUCAGCUUUUCAGUCGGCUUAUAAGCUGAAGCGAACAGACCAAGUGAUCCAUUGUAUUCCUGGUCCACCAAGUCCUCCUCCAUAUUUAGCAUUGUACUGGGUAUGUGGGAGAAAAAGAUGAAGCAUUUUGUGAAAAUUGUUAAAAUCCUUAUUCUCAGCAUCCGGAGCUUGUCUUUGUACUUCUUCACUUUUAUCGCCUUUAUUGUCCUUCAAUUUCUUCUCUUUUCCUUUCAUGAAAGUGCUUCACCAUACCUGCAAAACAAUUCAGGUGCACAUACUACCCCCGUGGCGAUAGUCGGGAAUGGAAUCAAUUACCAAUAAACCAACGACAUCCCUAUAAUUUUAACUUGUGGCACAGCUAAUCCAGUAAAAUAAAAACAAAAAAUCCAAUGAGUGUACGUGCGUGCAAGUGUGAAUGCACAAGGUUAGUGACAUGAAAGGUGGGGACCAAACUUGAUAGAGAUUACACAAAAUUUUAAACACCACGUUUACUACUCAGCUGCUGAAGUUUUUGGAUAAAACACCACGUUAAAGCCAACGAAUUCAAGUACUCCAAAAAGUUUAGAAAACCAAGCGUGUUAACAUAACAAAAGUCGACUGUGAAAAAUGCAAAAUGCAAAUGCAAAGAGUUAGCAAAAACUAGGGUUAGUAAGGUCGAAAAGACUAUCGAUGUUGUUUCGCAAUUGGUUAAGUCAAAAAGAAUUGCUUAGAAUGAUAAAGCACAGCUGGUAAAGAAGUCAAGCAAUGUCAAUAGGAAAAUCGUUCAUAAAAAAUCUUCAACAACCAAACCAACAAGAUUAAAGGUAGGUUUAUAGGUAUCCUAUAUUUUUUUACUUGAAACAGGAAUUUUGAAGAGAGAAAUCAAACAUAGAAACUCUUCGGCAGCCGCGCUGUGCUCGGUGGUGGUGGGACUAUGCGGCGAUGGCUAAAAGCUCCGUGUCGCUCUCCAUAGAGACUACGCGGGGAGAGAAUAAUUUUAUUCUUAGCAAUUACUUUCCUCAUUUGCCACGGACGAAGAGGCAACGGAACCCUACCCCAGGAUUUCGCGGUCCGGCGCCCGUCCAAACCCCGUGUCCCCUCUACCCAAUGCCCGUGCGACACCGUGAACGGGAUCCCCUCCACGAGGCCACGGCUUCGCCCGCCACGGAGAAAAAGGGCCCUCCGGCCGGCACCGUGCGGCCGACGCCCUUUCCCCUUUUGUUUUCCUUCCCCGCUUUCACGGCGGGGCCGUCAGAGGCAGGCGCGGGGUAGGGUGGGGGUCCAAAGCCUCCAAGCCGAGGAACUUGUGGCUGCGGGGCGCGCCACGGAAGGCUCCGGGGCCGGGACACGCGUCCGGACUGACUUGGCAGCUGUCCCUCUCGCCGCUGCCCCCACGCCCCUCUCCUCCCGAGCACCCACCUAUAUCAUGCGGCUCGUCACCCUCCGCUUACCAUCUCGGGCUCCGGCACAACGCACUCGCCUUCCCCUUUUCCUUUCCGCGCCCACAGCCGUUGCCACAUAUAGCAACCACCGUACGUCGGCGGCGAGUAUAUAUAUCCAACGACUCCUUCCUGCGGGGAUCAUUUUGGGAGGACUGCAGGGUGUGAUCUCUGAUCAGUAGAGACGCACCACGAUGGCGAGCGGCGGCGGCGCGGGCGCGGAUGCGGCCGGGGUGGCGCCGUUCGUGGCCAAGACGUACCGCAUGGUGGACGACCCGUCCACCGACGGCGUCAUCGCGUGGGGCAGGGACAACAACAGCUUCGUCGUCGCCGACCCCUUCGUCUUCUCGCAGACGCUCCUCCCCGCGCACUUCAAGCACUCCAACUUCUCCAGCUUCGUGCGGCAGCUCAACACCUACGUACGUAUACACACUGUCAAAGUGAAUUGCUUGCUUGUGUUCUUCACCAAUCACCAGUCGGCCUGACCUGCCGUUCGAUUAUUCCACCUGCAGGGCUUCCGGAAGGUUGAUCCGGACCGGUGGGAGUUCGCGCACGUAUCGUUCCUGCGCGGGCAGACGCACCUCCUGCCCCGGAUCGUCCGCAGGAGCGGCGGCGGCGGCGGCAAGCGCAAGGACGACGGCUGCGGCGGCGGUGGCGACGCUGGGGCCGUGGAUGAGGACGCGGUGGCCAUGGAGUUGGUCCGGCUGAAGCGGGAGCAGCGCGCCAUCGAGGACCAGGUGGCAGCGAUGUGGCGCCGCGUGCAGGAGACGGAGCGCCGGCCCAAGCAGAUGCUCGCCUUCCUCGUCAAGGUCGCCGGCGACCCGCAGGUCCUGCGCCGCCUCGUCUCCUCCUCCGGGGCCUCCGGGGCAGGCGGCGCGAGCGGCGGCGUCGGGUUCGCCUCGGGUCCGGAAGAGGACUGCGCCGGCGGGGAGGUCGCGAAGAGGGCGCGCCUGCUCCUCGACGGCGGCGACCCGGUCUAUGGUGGUGGCAGCAGCGACGCCGCCGCCGCCGCCGAGUUCGGCGUGUUCUACAGCGCCGGCGCCGAUGACGUCGGGUUCGGCGGCGAGGCCGGCGGAUACCUGCAGCCGCCGCCGUACGUGUUCCCCGUGAACAGCGGCUACUGAUGGCGGUGACGUGUGUGCUGCGUCCGAUAGCGGUGGUCGGUUUUGUCGUCGUGUGCGUGCUCCGUUCGCCAGCUGCCCUCGCGAAUUGCUUGGGGAUGUGGCAACGGCGAACGGUGGCGGAGGCCCAGCAAGAUGGGAGCAGCUCUCCGACCGGGCUGGCCGGCUGGGUAGCCUGGUGGGUGCUACAUGUAAGUCGCGUCGUGUCUGCACAUGUGCCUGAGCCUGACCUGUGGGUGUGCGGUCACGCGUGCGGAAUAAGAGGCUGUAAAAGUGUAAAGCCUUGGUCGUUUAGGCAGGCUAGGUCUAGGUAGGUCAUGUUGCUUCCCCUGUGAUAGUGUGAUGUGAAUACCACACAGCAGUAGUGCUUCCAGUUCGCCCUCUAUUGGCCGAAAUGAUCUUUGGCAUGGUGCACGGACGAACUGCAGUGGACGAUUUGAUUGGAGGUGCAAAAGCAAAACGAUGUCGCCACCCUGCGAUGCGGAUCGCAGGUCCCGCACCUCGUCGCCGGGAAAGAUGGCUGGCACAGCGGCAGAUCCUUUUCGCCGGCGUCGCCUGAUGCGUGUGACGCUUCCGCCGCGGACGAGGACGCCCACCUCCCGCCUCCCGGGUCGGCACGGCGGCGCCGCUCGCGCGCGUCUCGCCGUCUCGUCAGCAGCUCACUGACGAUGCCGGCACCUGCCCGCCCCGGCUCGCGCCACCCACAAGACUCAUUAUUUGGGCCGCAUAGGACUCUAAAACGUCUGGGCCGCAGUGGCUUGGGCCUUAGUGACGUCCGCGUCCAAGCUAUCUUUGGGCCGGUUUGCUACUCCAACUCCUUGAUUGACCCCAAUAUACCCUUUAAUAUGCCUCUCUUUUUUCUCCACUUACAAGGUAAGUUUAGUUUAAAGAAUUGCGAGAUGACACAUGAUACCUUGUAUUAAAAAUAUAGUAUAUUAAAAGAUCAUGAUAACUUUUUCCUGCAGUUUGGUAAUCUUAUUCUUAACAUCAAUUUCAUAUUAAAUGUCAUUAGCUUAUAAAAAUAAUUAUAAUUUUUAACAUAGGAAAUCAUGUUCUGUAUCCACUCAUAGAAUUUGAAUUAAAACCCAACCUGCUUACGAACAAAUAAAAAGGAGAGAUUUCAUUACGGGAUAUUUGACCAAUUGAAAUAUUUCAUGAAGUAAAUUGAGUCUAAAUUUUGUUGUGGGUUUUAGGUGAAUAAAGUGGAUAGGUGAAUGUAGUAAAACGGAAUUAGUUCUUAAUUUAAUAUUUUAGCUUUCAUCUUUUAUAAGAUGUUGCCCUCUCUUCUAAAAAAAAAGAGAGUAUAACUGAAUAGCUAGUGUGGCGCGCUACUGCGUUUUAUCAGGCGCGGGGCACACCAAAAUCUCCCUUCCGAUCCCUCACCAUGGAGGUGGAGCUUUUGGCUCGGUGCUAGACUAGACACGAACAACUCCAGUAGUACGGUAGUAGUAUCGUCGGUAGCCGGCUAGCCGAUCAGCGCAUCUUGCCGCGGACAAGAUGCACGGCAACGGCAUAUGAUGUCGUGGCACACGGUGAUACGACGUGAACACCCCGACGACACCACACCGAUGCAGGUUUGAAGUUUCAAAGCCCUUGUACUAGUAGAUCCAGCCAGUUCUCUGCUCAUCAGCUGCAUUGGAAAGAGAUGGAUGCUGCAGUCGGGAGAGGCAGUCACGUGUGUGUCGCGUAGGGAGAGGCAGAGCAGGGCAGCGCCGAUCGAGUCGCUGCCAUGCCUGCAAGGCUGCAAGCUCUCAUCGGUGACAGGACAACAACAGGAUGGAUCGGAGUAGGGAGUAGGGACUAGGGACCAACGCGUGCGCCAGCGCCGCGCAGCCGGGGCACGGCCGCGUGGCGCGCCCAGGCAGGCUCGGCCGCGAGCCCGCGACAGGGCGCGCGCGUCGUCCUCUGCCAAUGGCGCGGCACCGCGCCGCGUCCUCCCCGACGCCCGCGCUUCCCGCUUUCGCGCGGCGGGACCAGGUCAUCACGUCGGUCGGAUGGAGGCGGGCGACACGGUGCACUGCAUGAUUCGGGCGAGCGCUUGAUCAGCUGAGCGCGACCGGCGGCGCUGAAGAUUCGUCGUCGGCAAGGGGAAUCCUGAGCAGGUUACGUGGCGGGUUCCCAAGAAACGCCAGCAGGACGGACGAACGGCGUGCGUGAUCGCGUCGCGGAGCCAAGCCUUUUCGCUGCUCGCGGGAAAUGAGGAAACGGCUUCACGUCGCCGGCUGAUGCUGAGAGUGAGAGCACGCACGCGACGGGUGCUGGAGCUGGCGUGCGCCGCGGAGAGGUCGCUCGCCGUGCUCUGUCGCACACGCGUCGGGCGUUGCGGCCUGGCACCUGUCCUGUCCCUCUCGCACGCCUGGCCAGGCUUUAUUUCAC